UACGGAGGAUGCAAGCGUUAUCCGGAUUUAUUGGGUUUAAAGGGUGCGUAGGCGGGGGAUUAAGUCAGUGGUGAAAUGCUGCAGCUUAACUGUAGCACUGCCAUUGAUACUGAUUUUCUUGAGUGUGGUUGAAGUAGGCGGAAUGUGUAAUGUAGCGGUGAAAUGCUUAGAGAUUACACAGAACACCGAUUGCGUAGGCAGCUUACUAAGCCAUAACUGACGCUGAGGCACGAAAGUGUGGGGAUCGAACAGG
rnacentral:rRNA from 1 species